CUAGUGGCGGACGGGUGAGUAACGCGUGGGUAACCUGCCUCAUACAGGGGGAUAACAGUCGGAAACGAUUGCUAAAAACCGCAUAAUAUAGCGAAACCGCAUGAUUUUGCUAUCAAAUAGUUUAUAGGGUAUGAGAUGGGCCCGCGUCUGAUUAGCUAGUUGGUGGGGUAAUAGCCUACCAAGGCGACGAUCAGUAGCCGGCUUGAGAGAGUGACCGGCCACAUUGGGACUGAGACACGGCCCAAACUCCUACGGGAGGCAGCAGUGGGGAAUAUUGGACAAUGGGGGAAACCCUGAUCCAGCGAACCGCCGCGUGAGUGAAGAAGUAUUUCGGUAUGUAAAGCUCUAUCAGCAGGGAAGAUAAUGACAGUACCUGACUAAGAAGCCCCGGCUAACUACGUGCCAGCAGCCGC
rnacentral:rRNA from 1 species